rnacentral:rRNA from 1 species
AGAGUUAAAUAGUACGUGAAAUUGUUGAAAGGGAAACGAUUGAAGCCAGUCGUACUGACGGAAAAUCAGUUCUUCGAGUGCGGGAUCGUGUGUGCGAGGAGUUUAACCGCCUUCGUUGCGUGCGAUACCUGUGCUUCUGGGGCGUACUUUUUCGUAUGGUAGGUCAGCAUCGAUUUCGAUCGCCAUAAAAUGGCCGGUGGAAUGUAGCUCCGAUCUUGUAUUGGAGUGUUAUAGCCUCUGGUAGAUGUGGUGGUUGGGAUCGAGGAUUGCAACGAAUACCCUUUCGGGCUAUCCGUCUGACCUCUGAAAGUCAUUUGGGUGUCGAAAGCUUGCUUACGGUCAUUCAAAUUGGCGGUCAAAAGGUUAGAACGCGAUUAUAUUCGUUAAGGAUGUUGACGUAAUGGCUUUAAACGACC